AACGAACGCUGGCGGCAGGCUUAACACAUGCAAGUCGAGCGCCCCGCAAGGGGAGCGGCAGACGGGUGAGUAACGCGUGGGAAUCUACCCAUCUCUACGGAAUAACGCAUGGAAACGUGUGCUAAUACCGUAUACGUCCUUCGGGAGAAAGAUUUAUCGGAGAUGGAUGAGCCCGCGUUGGAUUAGCUAGUUGGUGGGGUAAAGGCCAACCAAGGCGACGAUCCAUAGCUGGUCUGAGAGGAUGAUCAGCCACACUGGGGCUGAGACACGGCCCAGACUCCUACGGGAGGCAGGAGUGGGGAAUAUUGGACAAUGGGCGCAAGCCUGAUCCAGCCAUGCCGCGUGAGUGAUGAAGGCCCUAGAGUUGUAAAGCUCUUUCACCGGUGAAGAUAAUGACGGUAACCGGAGAAGAAGCCCCGGCUAACUUCGUGCCAGCCGCCGCCGUAAAAC
rnacentral:rRNA from 1 species